rnacentral:rRNA from 1 species
UACAGAGGGUGCAAGCGUUGUUCGGAAUCAUUGGGCGUAAAGGGCGUGUAGGCGGUUUGUUAAGUCAUGUGUGAAAUCCCUCGGCUCAACCGGGGAACGACGCAUGAAACUGGCAAGCUAGAGUACCAAAGAGGGGGGUGGAAUUCCCGGUGUAGCGGUGAAAUGCAUAGAUAUCGGGAAGAACACCGAUGGCGAAGGCACUCUGCUGGGCCGACACUGACACUGAAAGACGAAAGCCAGGGGAGCGAAUGGG